rnacentral:lncRNA from 1 species
GUUAUAAUAAAAAUAUUAAUUUAUUUCUAAAUUAAAAAAUAAGGGUAAAUAUGGAAAAAAUGUAUAUUUUCCAUUACUUAAAUGAAUAUAUAGCCACUUUCUUAAAGGGUGAGUUUUUUUUUUUUUGCUUACAUAUGAGACCGGAGGGAGUAAUUUGAUCUCAGGAUAUUGAUUUCAUUUUGGAAUGGUAAGAUUGCAACAACAAUAAAUAGGUAAUUUAUUUUAUCACAUUUUGAUAUAUUUGAAUCAAUUUU